rnacentral:rRNA from 1 species
GAUGAACGCUGGCGUCGUGCCUAAUACAUGCAAGUCGAGCGAACAGACGAGGAGCUUGCUCCUCUGACGUUAGCGGCGGACGGGUGAGUAACACGUGGAUAACCUACCUAUAAGACUGGGAUAACUUCGGGAAACCGGAGCUAAUACCGGAUAAUAUAUUGAACCGCAUGGUUCAAUAGUGAAAGACGGUUUUGCUGUCACUUAUAGAUGGAUCCGCGCCGCAUUAGCUAGUUGGUAAGGUAACGGCUUACCAAGGCAACGAUGCGUAGCCGACCUGAGAGGGUGAUCGGCCACACUGGAACUGAGACACGGUCCAGACUCCUACGGGAGGCAGCAGUAGGGAAUCUUCCGCAAUGGGCGAAAGCUUGACGGAGCAACGCCGCGUGAGUGAUGAAGGUCUUCGGAUCGUAAAACUCUGUUAUUAGGGAAGAACAAAUGUGUAAGUAACUAUGCACGUCUUGACGGUACCUAAUCAGAAAGCCACGGCUAACUACGUG